rnacentral:rRNA from 1 species
AGAGUUUGAUCAUGGCUCAGGAUGAACGCUAGCUGGCAGGCCUAACACAUGCAAGUCGAACGGUAACAUGAGAGCUUGCUCUUGAUGACGAGUGGCGCACGGGUGCGUAACACGUAUGCAACUUACCCCAAACUGGAGAAUAGCCUUUGGAAAUGAAGAUUAAUACUCCAUAAUAUUACAGAGUGGCAUCACUUUGUUCUUAAAACUUCGGUGGUUUGGGAUAGGCAUGCGUCCUAUUAGUUAGUUGGUGAGGUAAUGGCUCACCAAGACUUCGAUAGGUAGGGGGCCUGAGAGGGUUAUCCCCCACACUGGUACUGAGACACGGACCAGACUCCUACGGGAGGCAGCAGUGAGGAAUAUUGGUCAAUGGACGAAAGUCUGAACCAGCCAUGCCGCGUGCAGGAUGAAUGCCCUAUGGGUUGUAAACUGCUUUUAUAUAGGAAGAAAAGCUUCUACGUGUAGAAGUCUGACGGUACUAUAAGAAUAAGGACCGGCUACUCCGUGCCAGCAGCCGCGGUAAUACGGAAGGGGCCAAGCGGUUAUCCGGAUUAUUGGGGUUUAAANGGGUCCGCAAGCNGGGAAAAAUAAGUCAGUGGUNNAAGCCUACAGCUUAACUGGUAAACUGCCAUUGAACUGGUUUUCNUGAGNNNUGAUUAANUGGCCCGAAANGUGUCAUGUACCGGNGAAAUGCAUUNAUUUGCCCCGAAANNCCANUGCAAAANCNGCUCCUAACUNUUCUGACCNUUGGGCCNAACUNUGGGACCAACGGGUUAACCNCGGNACCCCCCNAAAAANAUUCCCGGGCUNGAAAUUUNNGCCCNAAAANANAAAANCNC